GACGAACGCUGGCGGCGUGCUUAACACAUGCAAGUCGAACGGUAAGGCCCUGCUUUUGUGGGGUGCUCGAGUGGCGAACGGGUGAGUAACACGUGAGUAACCUGCCCUUGACUUUGGGAUAACUUCAGGAAACUGGGGCUAAUACCGGAUAGGAGCUCCUGCUGCAUGGUGGGGGUUGGAAAGUUUCGGCGGUUGGAGAUGGACUCGCGGCUUAUCAGCUUGUUGGUGGGGUAGUGGCUUACCAAGGCUUUGACGGGUAGCCGGCCUGAGAGGGUGACCGGCCACAUUGGGACUGAGAUACGGCCCAGACUCCUACGGGAGGCAGCAGUGGGGAAUAUUGCACAAUGGGCGGAAGCCUGAUGCAGCAACGCCGCGUGCGGGAUGACGGCCUUCGGGUUGUAAACCGCUUUCGCCUGUGACGAAGCGUGAGUGACGGUAAUGGGUAAAGAAGCACCGGCUAACUACGUG
rnacentral:rRNA from 1 species